AGUGAACGCUGGCGGCGUGCUUAACACAUGCAAGUCGAACGAGAACGGGUUAUAGCUUGCUAUAAUUGUCAGCUGAGUGGCGCACGGGUGGGUAAUGUAUAGGUAAUAUGCCUCUUACUAAGGGAUAACAAAUGGAAACGUUUGCUAAUACCUUAUACUCCUUAUUAACAUAAGUUAAUAAGGGAAAGAUUUAUUGGUAAGAGAUUAGCCUGUAUUGUAUCAGUUAGUUGGUGGGGUAAUGGCUUACCAAGACUAUGACACAUAACUGGUUUGAGAGGAUGAUCAGUCACACUGGAACUGAGACACGGUCCAGACUCCUACGGGAGGCAGCAGUGGGGAAUAUUGCACAAUGGACGAAAGUCUGAUGCAGCAACGCCGCGUGGAGGAUGACACAUUUCGGUGCGUAAACUCCUUUUAUAUGAGAAGAUAAUGACGGUAUUAUAUGAAUAAGCACCGGCUAACUCCGUGCCAGCAGCCGCCGUAA
rnacentral:rRNA from 1 species